CGGGGUAUAGCAUAUAUAAUGCUUUUUACUUACACUAAAAAUAAAGUUAAAUUUACUUGCCUCGC
rnacentral:tRNA from 1 species